GGUCGGAUCCUUAGUACGGCGAGUGACCGGGAGAGCUCAAUUUGAAUCUGGCGUCCUCCGGGCGUCCGAGUUGUAAUCUACAGAAACGUUUUCCGUGCUGUACCGUGUCUAAGUCCCUUGAAUAGGGUAUCAAGAGGGUGACAUCCGUACUUGACACGAUCACCAGUGCUCUGUGAUACGUUUUCUACGAGUCGCGUUACUUGGGGAGUGUAGCGCAAAAUGGGUGGGUAAACUCCAUCUAAAGCUAAAUAUUUGGUGGAAGACCGAUAGGCGAACAAGUACCGGUGAGGGAAAGAUGAAAGCACUUUUGAAAAGAGGGGUUAAACAGUACGGUGAAAUUGUUGAAAGGGAACGAUUUGAGUCAGGUCGUGGUCUAUUGGGGUCCAGGCCAGGUCGGCUGGGGAAUCCCCUAGGACGGGUCCACUUCAGGUUCGAUCGUGGUUAAGGCUGGGAAUGUGCCACUCUCGGAGAGUGGUAAGCCUCUGCGCAACACCGUGGACAGAGAUGCGCUCCUUAUGGCGGUUCCCCGGUCACUAUGAGUGUCCAAUGUUUAACACCGCUGAAAGACAAA
rnacentral:rRNA from 1 species